rnacentral:lncRNA from 1 species
GAAAUUUAAUUUUGUUGGACUCCACAUAUAAUAUGGUAUGCUAUAGUCUAAUAAAAUAAAUAUAGAAGCUAAAGGUAUGAAUUAUUUCAAUUAAUUAUAGAAAAGCAUAUAUCUAAAGCUACAACAAACAAAUUAUACUAAAACAUACCAUAUUAUAUGUUCAUUGUAUAGAUAUGCUCGUUUGUAGUCUAAAAAGUUAGAUUUUCUAUUUUAUGAUUUUUCAAAGAUUUAGCUGAAAUAAAUAAAAAGAAAAGGACAAAACCUUCAUAGCAAAACCUUUGUACUAAAGUAUAGUAUAUGUUUACUGUGUAAAUCUACUCAUAUGGAAUCAAAUAAAAUAGGAUUUUCCAUUCUAUGAUUUACUAUGAUUCUUCAAAGAUUUAGCCGAAAUAAAUAAAAAAGAAAAAGAAAAAAAUCACCGUCACGGUAUCAAAACCACCAUUUACUAUAGCAAAAACCGCCUUAAAAACUGCUCUAUGCGGUAAAAUGCAUAGUUUAAAAAAAUUAAGGAAGGUGGUUUGCCCGGUUUUAAAGUUAAAGAGAAAAAUCGCAUGAUAAAGUAGAUUUUUUCCUAUUUUUAGCAAUCUCAUUCACGUAUGCCAUCCAGCCCUAGAUCAAUUCCAAAUUGCGAUAUACAGGAAGCGCGUGCUCCGUAUGUGAACCCAACCUGAUCGAGUCCAUUGGAUAUGUUUAUGUAGCACAUCUUUGAGGGGUUUAUAUAUUUCCUCCUUUUUGAGUCUAGCAUGAUCUUUGCUCUCGGCAAUGAGGAUGUAAUGCUAAUUGCAUUUAUGAUGCACCCGUGUUUAGUUUCAUUUAGUCCCUAGACUAAAGUAACUUUAGUCCUAGCCUGUUUGGUUCUAUGGACUAAUUGCCAUUGAAGCUACUGAAAAAAAAAGACCAAAACGCCCCUAUUAGAUGCCCCUUAUCCUUGUCUCUGUGUAAUAAUGAGGGGUGAAGCUGUCCUUCUACCACUUUAGUCCCCUCUAGUCACCCCCUUGAGGACUAAACGACUAAACUAGUUUAGUCAUUUUUUUAGUCACCUUAUUUGGCAAUUUAGUGACUAAAAGGGGGCCAAAAUCAGGUGACUAAACUUUAUUCACCUUGAACCAAACAUGGCCUAAACUUGACCAAAAGAAGUAUGAGUCAGGGACACACUUACAUGCAGUUGUAGGCUAUAUGUAUAGACUCUUUAUGAUCAUAGAGUUAUAUAAAAUCAAAUCAUUUUCAUUGAAAUAUAUCUUGAUAGUACACUUAUUUAAUAUAUUUCUCAAGAAACUAAUCAGAUAUAUAAAAAACAAAUUUGGUUUAAAAUAAAAUUAAAAUGAACUAUAGCUUACAAUAGAGAGACAGUAAUAAAUAUACCUGAAAUAAGAAAAAAUAAAAAGAAAGAAAACAAAAAACAAGGCAACAAAAAAAAGAGGAAAACCUACAAAGUCACGGCGCAAGAAAAGAAGGGAAGCAAGAAGCCCUCUUUCCCAAAAAGGUCAGCCUAUAGCACAAAUGAUAAGUUGGGCCAACAUAAGAAAACAAACCACACAUGUUGUCCAAACCGAAACCAGCCCACAAUAAUGAUGGGCCUGACAAAGCAAAAUUCAACCAAGACGAGAAAAGUAACUAGAUUAUAGCUAGAUAAUAUUCCUCUCAAAAAAAGUUAGAUAAUAUUUUUCUCUAAAAAAAGUUAGAUAAUAUUGUUUAGUAAUCUUGUUCCCUGUAAGGACAUCCGGUCCCAAAUCAAUUCCAAAUCGUGCUAUACAGGUGCUCGGUAGCAUGAAAUCCGUCUGAAUGCGUGUGGACAUCAGCCGGUGGCCCCUACCAAAAUCUUGCUCGAGGUAUAUAUGAUUGAGCGGCCAUUAUAUAUUUUUGUGGAGGUGGUGCAGUAGGAUACUUCGCAGCAACUCGGGAGAUCCUACUUGCAAGUACUAUACUAGUUCGUACUUCGUACGAUGCGCGGCAAACCGGCACGCGAUCGGUCGGACACCGGUGGUCACUCAACUCAAGCAAGGGCCAGGGUUGGGUCAGACGGUCAGAGGUGUUUCGACACUAGGGCUUUGUUUAGUUCCGAAAAUUUUUUGGUUUUCGAAACUAUAGCACUUUUGUUUUCAUUUAACAAACAUUAUUCAAUCAUGUAGUAACUAGGCUUAAAAGAUUUAUCUCGCGAUUUACAGGUAAACUGUGCAAUUAGUUUUUAUUUUCGUCUAUAUUUAGUGCCCCAUGCAUAUGCCUCAAGAUUCGAUGUGACGGGAAAUCUUAAAAAGUUUUUGGUUUUUGGAGUGAACUAAACAAGGCCGACUAGCUCG